rnacentral:rRNA from 1 species
GAUGAACGCUAGCGGCAGGCUUAACACAUGCAAGUCGAGGGGCAGCACGGGUAGCAAUACCUGGUGGCGACCGGCGCAAGGGUGCGUAACGCGUGAGCAACAUGCCCUAUACAGGGGGAUAAUCCAGGGAAACUUGGUCUAAUAUCCCAUAGUAUUUAGAGGAGGCAUCUUCUAUAAAUUAAAGCUUCGGUGGUAUAGGAUUGGCUCGCGUGACAUUAGCUAGAUGGUGAGGUAACGGCUCACCAUGGCAAUGAUGUCUAGGGGUUCUGAGAGGAAGGCCCCCCACACUGGGACUGAGACACGGCCCAGACUCCUACGGGAGGCAGCAGUGAGGAAUAUUGGACAAUGGAUGGAAAUCUGAUCCAGCCAUGCCGCGUGCAGGAAGACAGCCCUAUGGGUUGUAAACUGCUUUUAUAUGGGAGCAAUAAGGUCUACGUGUAGACUGAUGAAGUACCAUAUGAAUAAGCAUC